CGUGUGUGUGCGUUUUGAAAAAUACCUGCAAUGGCCUUUUAAGAGAUAACCAAGGAUGCUUUAGUUGCUAAGGACCCCUGAUGAAGUCACCAGAAAACGGUAUUACUGACACUCAGCAGCAGCAUUCCACCAGUUGACUAAAUGGGAAAGACAAGCCCACCCUGAAAGAUCUAGAAGCUCUCUCCCAGAACAAAUACCCCCACCAAAUCCCCUCCAGUGAGAAGGACACAUGACACCCCUCUGGUGGAACGGACAUGGUGUGAGAAGUGAGGACAGGAACUGCCUUCGGAUGGAGCUGAGACUGGAAGUUUAAGAUAUUUGCAGACAUUCGACCGCCUGGGCUAAUUGAAGCAGGCUUGGGUUUUGAAGUGUAAUUCAGCUGCAGUAAGAUGAGCAAUGGAAAAAACAGUGUGCUGUGAUAACAGGGGUGAUCUGAUGACAUUUAUUUAUGCAUCUCUCCUGGCUGGUGGCAGGAUCUAGUUCAGAGUCUCCUAGCAACAGUGAUGUGCGCAUGAGAAUAUGUCCAUGUAAAUAGCAGAUGCAAUGAAUAAAGUUUCCAUUCACUCACAGAGAUGACAGCCUGGAUU